UGUAAUCUCUCUCUGAAUAGAGUUUUCUCUUCUCCGUUUGCCUGAAAUUUUCGAGAGGCAAUUAUUCAGUGAAUAUUUGUGGAGAGACUAGUGAGUUUGUUAGGUGUGAUUUUCUCUAUUUUUGAGUUGUUUCACUAGGGAUCAGGAUUCUUUGGAUAGAAUAGAGGGUCUCUGGUGCCUUUGGACCGAGUUCGAUCGUCCCUGUUUUUGCCUCCUUUUGUUAAUAAGGGUUAGCGUUAUAAAUUUGAGCCACAGUGUGAAAGAGAAUUGCAGGUCGGAUGUUUGACAGAGAAAAUGAUGGAUGAUUUAAAGUCAUUGCCCGAGGAUGAAUGGUUCUGUGGUGAACAAUGCAACAUGAUGCAUUCACCUCUUCAGAAGUUUUCCGCCGACGGAAAUUUGAAGCUUCCCAAAACUGUUGUGAAGAUUUUGAAAAAGAAAGUUAAGGGAAAAGCUUCAACGCUGCACAUUAAUAAAUGCAAUGGAAAGGUGGUGAUGGAUCUCUAUCCUAACUGGGUAUUGUAUCAAUUUCAUGUCAACAAAAGACAAUAGUAAACAUAUAAAGCAACAAGUUGGGGAGCCUUCUUUAAUAUAGUAAUUAUGAAUGAUUAAUUUAAUAAAUAAAAAUAAAUGAAAGUUCUUAUAUAAUAAUUUGUUUAAAGUGUAUAAUAUAGCUAUUGAUAAUAAUGAAUAAUGAAUUGGUGAUCAUGCUACAAAUACAGUGUAGCCCUUCUCAUAUCAUCUUCUCUUAAUAAAAUGGGAAAGUUUGCUCGGCGCUGCCGAUAAUUCGCUAGAGUCAUCCUGCAAUCACUCCAGCUGAGUUGAGAAGUGACCUAUUUGAAUUGGUUUUGACUUGAGAGCAUGAAGCCAUCCAGCUGGGUUGUUGGCUCCAAUGGCAUUACUUU